AGUGGCGGACGGGUGAGUAACGCGUGAGUAACCUGCCUCUAAGAGGGGAAUAACAUUCUGAAAAGAAUGCUAAUACCGCAUAAUAUAUAUUUAUCGCAUGGUAGAUAUAUCAAAGAUUUAUCGCUUAGAGAUGGACUCGCGUCCGAUUAGUUAGUUGGUGAGGUAACGGCUCACCAAGACCGCGAUCGGUAGCCGGACUGAGAGGUUGAACGGCCACAUUGGGACUGAGACACGGCCCAGACUCCUACGGGAGGCAGCAGUGGGGGAUAUUGGACAAUGGGGGAAACCCUGAUCCAGCGACGCCGCGUGAGGGAAGAAGGUUUUCGGAUUGUAAACCUCUGUUGACGGAGAAAAAAAUGAUGGUAUCCGUUUAGAAAGCCACGGCUAACUACGUGCCAGCAGCCGCGGUAAUACGUAGGUGGCAAGCGUUGUCCGGAAUUACUGGGUGUAAAGGGAGUGUAGGCGGGAUAUCAAGUCAGAAGUGAAAAUUACGGGCUCAACUCGUAACCUGCUUUUGAAACUGACAUUCUUGAGUGAAGUAGAGGCAAGCGGAAUUCCUAGUGUAGCGGUGAAAUGCGUAGAUAUUAGGAGGAACACCAGUGGCG
rnacentral:rRNA from 1 species